GGUUCUCUCUGAGCCUCAUCUACUGAAGGAGGAUGUUGUUCAUUUUGCUGGGAUUCCAGGACAAGAAAAAGAAAAUAUAGCAAAUAUAGAAAUGAAAGCAGUAUCAAGCAUAGAAGUGACGUCCACUGAAGAGCACAAAAUGGAUAACAGCUCUGAAUGUUCAGAGUCAAUGCCUAUGUCUGAGUGUCUUCUACAGAAGAGAGAUGUGAGUCAUUUACCUGGGACUGCAGAUCAAAGAAGAAAAAACAUUACAAGUGGAGAGAUGAAAGGU